rnacentral:lncRNA from 1 species
AUGAUUACAAUGGAGAGUGAUUAUCACUUAGUCUCUCAUCUGUCUCUGCGUCCCCUCCCACUCCCUCCCCCUCUCUUCUGUUUCUCGCUUCUCUCCCAUUCAGCACGCGAGGUCAAGUGUCACCCCGUCUCCGUUGUCAAGGCUGCCAAUCACCCACACAGUGAGUGCAAGGCAACUGUUGCCAAGGAAACAGUGAUUCGGUUGCUAGGCACCUGGAGCUGUGCUCACAAUAGUCAUUUUGUUGCUUGGAAGCACACACACACACACACACACACACCCACACCCACACACACACAAGAAAAAAAGAAAUCUCCGUUAUAUAAGCCAGGCUCAUCAGUACCACCUACCUGAAGAGUCCUUAUGGACUGAGACGCAUUCAGAUUGACAUAUUUGUCCACUAUAAAUCUGCUUUUAACAAUCACUCCCAACCAGCCCGACAGCUUCAGGUCCUUCCGUCACACAUUUCGUACCACAUACAGUAAUAAUAAUGGGUUACCUACUGUGUAAAGAAAUGUAGCGUAUGUACUCUACUAUACAAAACUGCCCCUCGGUGUCACACACGGGUCGGUGCCGUUAGAUUUCAAAAGAUAUGGUGAUGAGUCCGGUGCACCCGAUAGGAGCAAAUGGAGAUAAGAAGAGGACGGGGAGAACAGGUGGCACUGAUGGAUUCAAAGAAACCAAUAAUCAGACUAAUAAAUAAAUAAAUGAAUCAAUAAGAUUGUUGAUCCAGGCGGUUAAUGGACAGCCCCACUGUCCCAAUUUGAUACAGUUCAGAACCAGAGAUUUGAUGUUCAACAUUAGUCGUUCCGAGUGUCUGUGACCACAGCCGUGCACGUGGAGCUGGACUGACAUGCUUGUGCACAGGAAGCAAAGAGGGGAAUCCCUCUGCAUCUGUGCCCGUUUAUGGGCUAUUAUCCUGGCUGUCUGCUUUAAAAGCUGCCUGGAACCGCGUCGAUGUCUUCAGAUGUGGCGCUGCCUCGCGUCUCCACCGGUGCCGGUUCCUUUCAGCAGCCCUGUCGUGUGCGGCUGCUGCUGCAGCUCGGCAGUGAACAUGGAGUCUGGAAACAUGGUGUCAAGGGGGAUUUAAAAGUGGGGGGGGGCUUCCACAGGCUGCACCAGGGUCGUACAGGGGUCAUCCCUCCAGUUACCUCUGAUUUAGCUGAUUCUACGUCUGCUACUGCUCCCUCCCCUAGUUUUCAAUUUCAGGUAAACUAUCCUUCUAAAAAUUCUAUUCUCGGUGAACCCGUCUAGUUUAUGGGUCACCUUUGGAACUCAAAAAGGUAAUUACACAGAAAAAAAGAGUCAAGGGAGGUGGAAAGUAACAAAACUGUGAAAAAUUGCACAAAGAACUCCACAUGGAAUCAGGCAGGAAGUCAAAUCAGAAACCUCUACAUCUAUAUAUAUAUAUAUAUAUCUAUAUAUAUAUAUAGAUGUAUAUAUAUAUAUAUAUAUAGAUGUAUAUAUAGAUGUAAAGCCUACACAGAGAUGUAAACACACACACAGUACUGAGGAGGAGGUGGAAUAUCGGUGGAACGUUGAUGGGCUCUAUUGUGUUUACAGCUUUUAUCUGUCCCUUUAAACACUGUAUAUUCAGAGAUCAGAGCUAUUAGAUGCAACAGUUUACGCCACAUCGGUUCAUCUGUGCUGUAACUGACAAAAGUGCUUCUGAUUCGGGUGGCGUCUCUUCCUUUUUUACCGUAUUUUUCUUUCGUAAAGGU